rfam:Myotis brandtii contig193759, whole genome shotgun sequence.
UAAUGAAUUGAGAAAUACAAUGAAGAUCAUAUGUCCAUCUCAAAAUACUGCUUUUACAAAAGCAGAAUAUAAAUGAAAUGAAAUGAAAAUGA